AGUGAACGCUGGCGGUAGGCCUAACACAUGCAAGUCGAACGGCAGCACAGUAAGAGCUUGCUCUUACGGGUGGCGAGUGGCGGACGGGUGAGGAAUACAUCGGAAUCUACUUUUUCGUGGGGGAUAACGUAGGGAAACUUACGCUAAUACCGCAUACGACCUACGGGUGAAAGCAGGGGAUCUUCGGACCUUGCGCGAUUGAAUGAGCCGAUGUCGGAUUAGCUAGUUGGCGGGGUAAAGGCCCACCAAGGCGACGAUCCGUAGCUGGUCUGAAAGGAUGAUCAGCCACACUGGAACUGAGACACGGUCCAGACUCCUACGGGAGGCAGCGGUGGGGAAUAUUGGACAAUGGGGGCAAGCCUGAUCCAGCCAUACCGCGUGGGUGAAGAAGGCCUUCGGGUUGUAAAGCCCUUUUGUUGGGAAAGAAAAGCAGCAGGUUAAUACCCCGCUGUUCUGACGGUACCCAAAGAAUAAGCACCGGCUAACUUCGUG
rnacentral:rRNA from 1 species